rnacentral:rRNA from 1 species
CGUGGGAAUAUGCCCUUCUCUAAGGGAAUAGCCUCUGGAAACGGAGAGUAAUACCUUAUACGCCCUUUGGGGGAAAGAUUUAUCGGAGAAGGAUUAGCCCGCGUUAGAUUAGGUAGUUGGUGGGGUAAUGGCCUACCAAGCCUACGAUCUAUAGCUGGCUUGAGAGGAUGAUCAGCCACACUGGGACUGAGACACGGCCCAGACUCCUACGGGAGGCAGCAGUGGGGAAUUUUCCGUAAUGGGCGAAAGCCUGACGGAGCAAUACCGCGUGAGGGAUGGCAGCCUGUGGGUUGUAAACCU